AUUGAACGCUGGCGGCAUGCCUUACACAUGCAAGUCGAACGGCAGCACGGGUGCUUGCACCUGGUGGCGAGUGGCGAACGGGUGAGUAAUACAUCGGAACAUGUCCUGUAGUGGGGGAUAGCCCGGCGAAAGCCGGAUUAAUACCGCAUACGAUCUACGGAUGAAAGCGGGGGACCUUCGGGCCUCGCGCUAUAGGGUUGGCCGAUGGCUGAUUAGCUAGUUGGUGGGGUAAAGGCCUACCAAGGCGACGAUCAGUAGCUGGUCUGAGAGGACGACCAGCCACACUGGGACUGAGACACGGCCCAGACUCCUACGGGAGGCAGCAGUGGGGAAUUUUGGACAAUGGGCGAAAGCCUGAUCCAGCAAUGCCGCGUGUGUGAAGAAGGCCUUCGGGUUGUAAAGCACUUUUGUCCGGAAAGAAAUCCUUGGCCCUAAUACGGUCGGGGGAUGACGGUACCGGAAGAAUAAGCACCGGCUAACUACGUU
rnacentral:rRNA from 1 species